UGCAAGAUCUUCCAAGGGCCUUGGCUCUUUCUAUCCUGUGUCUUCCAUAAGGGAACUUUGGGAGGGUUUGGAUAAGUGGACACAGCAUUUCAAAGCAAAACUCCUGCAAGUACCAUUUACAAGAAGGAUCUACGCGAGGCACAAAGCAAAUCUCAAGCAAACUGAAACUGACAGUUAAUCAAAAAAGAUGAUUAAGAAAAUAACCGUAAUCAAAGGAAAUAACUUCUCCAUCAACAAUCAGCAUACGCCACGACUGCAAGCUCCUGCUGCCUGCACCUCCUUGCCAUGAUGGACUGUACCUUGAACCCUGUGCUGAAAGAAGCCUGUUCUUUCAUAAGUUGCUUUCAUCAGAGUAUUAUGUCACAGCAACAGAAGAGAAACUAGGACAGCAUAAAUAAAAUUACAUUUCAUAAAUUUGCCAGCACCCAAAUCUAACUCAACCCUCCCAAGUAUACAGAGCCAUGUUCUAUCUUGUCCUUGUCAAAUACCCCUGUCUUUCUCUCAGGUACUUCCAAAGGCUGAUGGCUGACACCUUGGCAACAAAAAUGUAUAACUACAUUGUCUUGGUUCAUUCUUCACUCAGUAGAUUAUUGCUUUGGAUCCUAAAUGCCA
rnacentral:lncRNA from 1 species